UACGUAGGGGGCAAGCGUUGUCCGGAAUCACUGGGCGUAAAGGGCGCGUAGGCGGCUUGAUAAGCGUGCGGUGAAAGCCCGGGGCUCAACCCCGGGUCGGCCGUGCGAACUGUCGAGCUGGAGCACUGUAGAGGCAGGUGGAAUUCCGGGUGUAGCGGUGGAAUGCGUAGAGAUCCGGAAGAACACCGGUGGCGAAGGCGGCCUGCUGGGCAGUGGCUGACGCUGAGGCGCGACAGCGUGGGGAGCAAACAGG
rnacentral:rRNA from 1 species